rnacentral:rRNA from 1 species
UACGAAGGGGGCUAGGCGUUGCUCGGAAUCACUGGGCGUAAAGCGCACGUAGGCGGAUCUUUAAGUCAGGGGUGAAAGUCCCGAGGCUCAACCUCGGAACUGCCUUUGAUACUGGGGAUCUCGAGUCCGGGAGAGGUGAGUGGAACUGCGAGUGUAGAGGUGAAAUUCGUAGAUAUUCGCAAGAACACCAGUGGCGAAGGCGGCUCACUGGCCCGGAACUGACGCUGAGGUGCGAAAGCGUGGGGAGCAACAGGG